rnacentral:rRNA from 1 species
UACGUAGGGGGCAAGCGUUGUCCGGAUUCAUUGGGCGUAAAGAGCGUGUAGGCGGCCAGGUAGGUCGGUUGUGAAAACUGGAGGCUCAACCUUCAGAGGUCGACCGAAACCAUCUGGCUAGAGUCCGGGAGAGGAGAGUGGGAAUUCCUGGUGUAGCGGUGAAAUGCGCAGAUAUCAGGAGGAACACCAAUGGCGAAGGCAGAUCUCUGGGCCGUAACUGACGCUGAGACGCGAAAGCGUGGGGAGCGAACAGG